rnacentral:lncRNA from 1 species
CUCUUCAUCCUUCUCUUACUCACUUAUUUUCUACCAUUCUUAUCAAAAUUCAUCUACUUCUCCAAAUUAUCUUUUUCUCCUAUUCUUCUUACAAACAUUAAUCUUCUUCUCCAAAUCACAAACACCCAAAUUAUCUUCUCUUCUUCUCUAUUUUCAGCAACAAACACAACACAACAUCUUCUUCUCAAACCAAAUACAACAAAAUAUCAACAUCAACCACAGAAGAAAAUGGGUCCGAAAAAAUCCAUAAAAGCAAAUGGGUUGAAGCUUGUUUGAUUCGAGUAUUGUUCAUACCCUUAUAUUCCCUUCUCCUGAGUAUUGUUCAUAUCCAGAAAAUGGGUCUGAAAGUUUUGCUUGUUUGAUUCGAUUCAAAAAUGGAUUCUUUGUCGGUUGUUGUUGUUGAUUGGAUCCAAAAGUAUUGCUUGCUAUGGAAGAAGAGAAGAGAAGAGAUGAGAAGUGAGAAAGAAGAAUAGAUGGAU